UCAAAAUAAAAUCGUGUGUAUUUACAAAAAGUUGUCGUAGAUAACGAUUUAUUUCCUUCUCGUUUUCAUUAUAUCAUUUUAAUGAUUUUUUUAUUCGUUACCUCGCUUUUUUGGAGAGGCGUUAAUCUGCAACAUACGACUGACUCACAUGACAUUGCAAUCUUUUUAAACAACUGUGGAUACGUUUGUAUAACCAAACUUAAACAACUUCCAUUGAUUAUAAAUCCAUACUGUUUAUGAGGUUCCAAUUUCAUUUGACGCCUGUAAAAAACGUAUUUGCAAAAAUUAUAUUGAUAUACGGAUAAGAGAAAAGAAAUUUGCCCAAUAUAUGCUAAUGGUAUUAUAUUUACUCGAAAUUGGUAAGAGUAACGAAGCAAGUUUGCUUCGUUGUUUGUGUCAUUAAACGUAGUAUCUCAGUACCCUUUUUAAAAUGACCACACAAGAAAGCUAUAUUUUCUGCUGUUUCUGCUUUGUCACCGCUACUUUUAGACACUCGAGCGUUUCUUCAACGCCUUCUUGAAGACGAUCUUCGACCGCCGUUACUCCAAGUAAAGUUAGACCACUUUCCAUUUCUUCGUAGGCACAUUGUAUGCAUAUUUCUCGAUCUUGUCCGAUGACUUGUCUUGCAACUUCGAUAUUACGUGUUAACCGUGUAUAAUCUCUUUGGGUUAAUUUUUUAUAAGCCACUACCAAGGUACGCAAUCCUCUCUAAUGCAAAACACAUAACGUUUUAGUCAAUAAACGUAAAUACAUAAGUAUCAUUUUGUGGAACAUUGAUGUACCAUAGAGAAAUCUUCUACAUGAGCAGCUGCUGUUUCGACGUCUCCUUCUAUAAUUAAAGGAACAUUUGAAUAUCAUCAUCCUUACUUGAUAUUCUGGAAGAUCUGGAUGCAUAAGCAACGAACUAUUAACUUUGGUAAUCGUCUUUAAUCUGAAACUCUUACGAUACUCUAAGCGUUGCGUACUAAUCGUUGACUUCCGACUUGGUGGUGCAAUUUGAACAACGUGGCAAAGAGAAAUACUCAUCAUGAAGUGCCAAAUUUCAGACUGCAAUAUUAAUACAUUCUCUUAUUUAUUAUAGACUUCCUCUAAAUAUGUAUAUGUAAUCAUUGUGAUAUUUGCCUGCCACGAUUGUAAUUUUACAGCCUCCCUUUCGUCUCCGUUAGGUGGUAAUAAAUAAAGAUUUCCAUCACAGUCUUUUUCUAUAUAUACUUGUCCGUUGAUGGAACAUCGCCUGAAUACCAUCAGAUUUUCAGUUAGCGUACCAGUUUUAUCAGUGAAUAAAUACUCGACCUGACCAAGUUCCUCGUUUAAAUCCGACGUGUUGCUCAAUGCUGGUUGAUCGGAUGCUUCGUCGUAUAGAUCGAUGUCCCAUUUGAAAUAAACAGAUCCUAGAAAUUUUUGUAUUUCUGAAAAGCACAUAGAUCGCAAUGUAAAAGAAAAUAUACAUAACACGUUGAAAUAUUGUGGAUAAUGUCUUACCGAUCGUAACGUAUAACGAUAUAGGAACGAUGUAAUUAUAUAAAAUAGUAAAACUGAGUAAAUCUAUAAAAAGAGACAACGGGGUUGUGGAACUUUUCUCCCCCAAAUAGACGUCCCACGUUGAAUUUGAUUCUAUUAUGAAUUUAAAAAUCGUUGAAAUAAUUAUUUCAAACAGCAGAAGUAUGAUAAAAGCAGUAAGGUACCUUUCUACCGUUGAAAAUUUAUUCGGUACUGUUUUCGAAUUUAACGAUAAUUUUGUAUCUUUACCGGUGUAAAUGACACAACCAAUCACGCUAUCGAUGUCUUUUAAUAUUGCUCCACGAAGCAACAUAUUAUCUAUCGUUAAAAAUCCACUCGUCGUCACUUCGUUCGAAUUAUUUUUUAUUUCCAUUUUUCCAUUAAAACUAUAAAGAUCUGGCAUUGGAGCCUGACACGUUAUAGUCGCUUGCAUCGAUACGAUCUCUUGUAGGGGCAUCUUGGAUAUGAUUUUCGGUUUGACGUUGUAACAAAACAAUAACCAGAACUUUCGUCGCUGUGUAAAAGAAGAAGAUCACAGGGAACAUCCUCGUCUCGUCUUACCUUUACUAUAUCUCCUACGACUAUUUGUUCACAAUGAAUUUCCUAUGAUGUUUAACGAUAUUUGUUAUAAAAUUAUUAUGGCAAUUAUACUUCACUACGAUAUUAUACCGACCUGUGCACAUUUGUUGCGAAUAACUGUU